GACAAGUUACUCCCACUGUUAUAGCUUCAUCAGUAUCCUCUUAAUGCUCUCUUUAUGUAGAUAUUGGACUCUCUCUAGCUGAAUACAGCAGUCUGGCCAAUAAAGCAGCUGAAAUUCUAUGGGUACCCGGCAUAAGAGCUAAACUUGUACUUCACUCCCAAACCAAACACACGGAAUUAAACUUUGUAAUAGAUCGUAGCAUCUAUUACGAUAACAUGAAAAUAGAAUCCGUUUCACACAACGUGCAUUUUAUUCCCAAAUUAAACACCCAGAAUUAAACUUGUACAGUGUUAGAUAAAGAGUUCCUAAUGAGUCUCCCUGUUAGGAUAUAGUAUAAUAGAUAUUAGAGUAAUUAAUGGUUGUUAUAGUUAGUUAGUUAUGAGGUAGUUAGUACUAUUCUGUAUGAAUAGGGGUUCUGUAGUUAGUUGAGAUAUCAUUGAAUAUUGCAAUCAAUUGUUAAAUAGAGAAUAGUCUCUAUUGUGAAGUGGAAACCCUUGGAGGAGAGAUUUCUCUCCUAGUUCUUAAUAAAAGUGUUACUUCUUAGGAAUCCAAAUCUUGGGUUCCUAACAAAAUCUGUGCUGCUACUUACCUUUUCAGUAAUGUCCUCAAGAGGCUAAAACAGAUCUCUAACUGUUGACCUUUAAUAUUCAAUAAGUCUAUCAUUAGUGCCUUUAAUUCUAAUUUCAAUAUUUAUUGAAAAGUAUCAAAUUGCUGUUUCAUGUUCACGAGUUUUAAGUUUGUUGCAUGACCCAUCUUGUUUUUGUGUGUUUGUUUUGUUAAUGCAUGACAGAUUGUUUUGUGGUUGGUAUUAUGGUGGAAACCAGUCAGUGUGCUGGUCAUUCUGUCUAAGGUGUUCUUUGCAGGUUUGUCUGUUGGAAGUUUUUUUGUUGUUUCAAUUUAUCUCAACUUUUUUGAGUUUUUGCUAAUUCAUAUGGUAUACAUGUUGCAAUAGGGGUUUCUUUGUUUGCUGCCCUUGGCUUUCUUCUCUAUGGUGGAAGGUAUUGUUGUUUUUUAUUUUGCUUUUCUACCCCCUUUGAUGUAAUUUGGAAUGAAAUUUAUUGCAUUUAGGUUACAAGAUACCACUUCUUCGUAUCAGGCUCAUGCAAGUCCUUGGAAGUUUAUUUAUUAGGACCUUAGGGGCCCAUUUCUCUUAGAGUACUGGUAUUGAUGUUUACUUGUUUAUCUUAUGACUCCUCCGAUAUUCUUCUCAUGAUAUUUUAAAGGGAUGAUCAUCAGAUAUGUGGCAAGAUUGAACAGCUUUAUAUUUUUGAGCUUUUGUGACUUGCUAUUUCAUUUUAUUUUCUCUGUUAACGAUUGUAACUUAAGGCAGAUAUCCUAAAUCAAGCACCUUUAGAGGUCAAUUCUUAAGUUAAAUGUGAAUGUUAUUUGUAUAUGCAAAUAUUGUGUUCCCACUUUUGUAGUACCAGUGAUUUCCCCAUCUCGUUUUGUGUCCACUUUCUUACUGUUUUUUUGUAGACUAUUCUUGAUGCUGCAACGCUUUCCUGUGGAAUCCAAAGGGCGACGUAAGAAGCUGCAAGAGGUAUGCAGUCUGACAGAGGUCGAGUGUAGGAUUACUAAAACAAGCCUAAAUCCCCAAACCCACUAAUAUACUAGAACUACUAACCCCAAGUAUUAGAGGUCCCAAUAACCUGUACCCAGUACAUGCUAACAACUCAUUAUUUUAAUUUCCUAAAUAUGUAGAUAUAAAAGGAGGAGAUAGAGCAAAGGUAAAUGAGAGAAUAGGGACCUUAGAAGAUGGUGCUAUUGUCUUACCAUGUUUAAAUUAUAGGAAUUCUGUAGAGAUAAAGGAGGAGAGAGAGAAAAGGUAAAUGAGAGAUUAGGGACUUUGAAAAUGGAGUUUUAUAUGAAUUUUUUGUAGAUAAUCUAAAGAUAUUGUAAAUAUAAUUCUAACAAUAAGUGAUGUUUCUUUUUAGGUUGGCUAUGUGACAACCAUAUGUUUUUUAUGUUUCCUUAUCAGAUGCAUUAUGGUGAGUCCCUUCUAUUUUAAAUCUCAGUGAUUCCUAUGAUGGUUUUCAAAUUGAGUUUGAUUGUAUUUUGUUGUGUCAGAUGUGUUUUAAUGCAUUUGAUAAACAUGCGGACCUUAAUGUCAUGGACCAUCCUAUUCUAAACUUCAUAUAUUACCUGGUAAGGUUGUCUGUGUUUCUCUAUUUCAUUUUUUUACUGCCAAUACUUUUUGCUGUUUCGUUUUUGUUUGGUAAGAUUGGGGAUCUAGUUGGGACAUUGGAAGAUUGGAUGUGGAUUCUUGGAAGUCAUCACUUUGAACACCACAUCCCCCUUGCUAAAUACAACUAAGAUGCUACUGGGCUAAAAUGCCCUUUACUCACUGCUAUUCUCUUUAGGUCUAUUCUGUGCUUUAUUUGGUUACUUUGGCUUUUAGAGUUUAGCUGAGUGGUGGAAUUCCUGACAUAUUUGUAGUCUAAAUAUUUCUGACCCAAAUUUUUUCUAACCUUUUCCUGCUUAAACUCAAUGGGAAGUGGCCUGUGUGUUUAAAUCAUAUAUGUUUCAAAAUCCAACAAUUCAUGCUGAGCACAUCUCUAGAUCAAAUUUCCAAUCACAUGUGGAAAUUUUGUUUAUAAGAAAAUAAUUGUUAUAGAUGUUCUGAUUUCAAUUGGAAGGUAUUAGAUUGCUUUUGUGAGGUAUCAAUAAUUGUGCUUUUAGCAGUUCAUGUAGAAAUAGUCCUCCAGGUGUUAGCUCAGUGGUAAAAGCUUAAUAUUAUAAUCUCAAGGGACAAAGUUCAAAUUCUAUAUGGGACAGUUGUAAAAUGACCAUUAGUGUCACCGUUAUUAAUAAUAAUUUUCCCUUUCCCAAUUUUUUUUAUAAAAAAUUCACGAUGAUAAAGCCAACAUUCUGUUGGCAUACUUUUAAACUUCUAUGAAGGGUAAAUCAUGAUAAACAAUAUUUGUAUGGCUUUGAUUUGUUGCUGUCUCCCACUAUUCCUCUUACCCUUUUCACAUUUUUGUUGCAGUUGGCAGAAAUAUUACCUUCUUCUUUGGUCCUAUUCAUUUUGAGGAAGCUUCCACCUAAGCGUGGCAUCACACAAUAUCACCCUAUUCGCUGAAAACUGCUUAACAUACCUAGAAAAAGGGAGUCAUCAGUGGUUGAUAAUCUCCUUACCUGAUUCUCACAGUUCAAGGGUAACUUUUAGAGCACAGAAAGCUAGUCUUUUCAAUGUUAGGUGUGACAAAGCUUGUAUGAUGGGUUUUAUGGUUCAUUAAAGCUUGUAGAUUUCAAAACGUGACAUUUCAUGCAUUCUCAAAACAUGUCGAGCUGUGUUAUAACUGAUAUUUGCUUUGUCAAUGGUUGGUUCUGUUGUUUGAGCAACCAUAAUUGGGAAAAUGGGAUAGUGAUGUCUUGUAUAAACAAAGUGUUACAAGUUCGUAAAUGUAUUCUUCACUUCUUUAGUGAUUCCUUUUCUUUCUAUAGUAUAAUCUGUUUCUUUUGGUUGUUUGAUCUUUCCUAGUUAAACUUUUCUCCUUGAAAUACUACGCUCGAAUACUCAAUGCCAACUUUGUGACUAUGAUAUAACCAAAAGAAAAACUAUAGAAGCAUUCACAACUAAGUACACGAUUGGUAUAACAUUUAAUGAUAAAAAAAAGUCAUACCUCGUUCAGCUUUGCUGGAAUUUGACAAAGUGAUUAAUAGAAAACCUUCUACUUGGUUGUGUUAUCCAGUGGCUCUAGCUUGAUGAAGAUUUUGUUUGAGAU
rnacentral:lncRNA from 1 species